rnacentral:rRNA from 1 species
GGACUACACGGGUUUCUAAUCCCGUUCGCUCCCCUAGCUUUCGCACCUCAGCGUCAGAAAUCAGCCAGAAACCCGCCUUCGCCACGGGUGUUCUCCACGAUAUCUACGCAUUUCACCGCUACACCGUGAAUUCCAGUUUCCCCUCUGAUCCUCAAGCACAGUAGUUUCAGAGGCAGUUUCCAGGUUAGGCCUGGAGCUUGCACCCCUGACUUGCUGCACCGCCUACGUGCGCUUUACGCCCAGUGAUUCCGGACAACGCUUGCCCCUUACGUAUUACCGCGGCGGCUGGCAC